UACGUAGGGGGCGAGCGUUGUCCGGAUUUAUUGGGCGUAAAGAGCGUGUAGGCGGUUCGGUAAGUCUGUCGUGAAAUCCUGAGGCUCAACCUCGGGCGUGCGACGGAUACUGCCGGGCUAGAGGGUGGUAGAGGCGAGUGGAAUUCCCGGUGUAGCGGUGAAAUGCGCAGAUAUCGGGAAGAACACCCGUGGCGAAGGCGGUUCUCUGGGACGGUACUGACGCUGAGACGCGAAAGCGUGGGGAGCGAACAGG
rnacentral:rRNA from 1 species